rnacentral:rRNA from 1 species
GUCCACGCCGUAAACGAUGGGCACUAGGUGCCUGGGGGAGCGACCCUCCGGGUGCCGGCGCUAACGCAUUAAGUGCCCCGCCUGGGGGAGUACGGCCGCAAGGCUGAAACUCAAAGGAAUUGACGGGGGCCCGCACAAGCGGUGGAGCAUGUGGUUUAAUUCGACGCAACGCGAAGAACCUUACCUGGGCUUGACAUGCACGGGAAACCCUCCAGAAACGGGGGGCCCUCUUCGGAGUCCGUGCACAGGUGCUGCAUGGCUGUCGU